GAGAGAGAGAGAGAGAGAGAGAGAGAGAGAGAGAGAGAAAGAGAGUAUCUUCGAAGAUUAAACUUUCGAUAUCUACUCGACGUUUUCAGUCGACUCGCAAACGUCGUUCCGAACGUGCACCUGUUUCGAUUAUCUCGUUUACAUUAUUUUACUUCUCUCGCGUGAUACUUCGAAAAUCUGAUUUGUCGUGACGGCGAUUGUAAAGGAAGUAAGUAAGCAAGCAGUACGUAGAGGAAAGAAAAAGAGAAAGUGACGUUUACAUUCGUUGAAUGAAUCGAUGAAUAAUACAAGAAAAUAAAAAGAGGAAAAAGAAGAAGAACAAAAAAAAUAGAAAGAAGAAGAAGAAGAAAAGAAAAAAGAAACGAAAGAGCGUAGAAUUGACGGAAAGAUCGGAGUUUCUACUACCAGUCGGAGGAAGAACAUUCGAAAAUGGAUAUCAGGAUAACGUUGUUGUGUUUGUUUCUGUUUUGUGUUGUACCGAGAUCGACCGUCGGUAAAAGUCGUUUUACCAAUCCAGAUCUUUUCUACUUUCCCGACCAAGCGGAUUAUCUAAAACGAGCUAACAAAUGUCCGGAUAACAUGAUUUUGUGGCUAGGAAAUGGUCGUUGUUACAAAGAAGGUGAAAGAGGACCCUGCAAUGUCGGCCGUGUUUUAGUAAUCGACGAAAGAUUAUUUAAACCCUACUGUAAGGAUAUUCUACAAUGAUUUUUCUAUUGCUGCAAAAGAUGGCAGCACUCAAGAAAACCUAACGUUCGAUGGCAUGUUGGAAAAUUGUUUUCAUUGAACUGACUCCAAGAUGACAGCACUAUUUCUGUAAAAAACGUUUUCCCGCGGGAAACUUUGAAUAACGAGCUUCUCUGCGAAUUCGCAGAGUGGCAGCUGUAAGACAAAUUUUCUUUAUACUUCGAGAACUUGCGAUGUGCCAUUAUGUCUUUUAUUCAUCUCUUAAAAUGAAUACGCGAUAAAUCGUUCGUUGAACGUAUACGUUAAAGAAAA